rnacentral:rRNA from 1 species
AACGGCCGCGGUAUCCUAACCGUGCAAAGGUAGCGCAAUCACUUGCCCCUUAAUUAGGGGCUAGUAUGAACGGUUACAUGAGGGUCUAACUGUCUCCUAAGACCAAUCAAUGAACUUGAUGAUUCAGUACAAACGCUGAAAUAGUUACACAAGACGAGAAGACCCUGUGGAACUUUAAGUUAUCUGCUAGCGGACCAAAAUCCCCAACUCCUUUCUAACAGAUACUUUCAGUUGGGGCAACUACGGAGCAAAAAAAUCCUCCACGGACAACAAUUUACAUCUGUCCCUCAGGCUUACAUGCCACCCACCCUCUAUCAGACCCAGCAAAGCUGACCUACGGACCAAGCUACCCCAGGGAUAACAGCGCUAUCCCCUUCAAGAGUCCAUAUCGCCAAGGGGGUUUACGACCUCGAUGUUGGAUCAGGACCCCCCGGCGGUGUAGCCGCUGCCAAAGGUUCGUUUGUUCAACGAAUAACGUCCU